rnacentral:misc_RNA from 1 species
GAAAUGCGAUAAGUAGUGUGAAUUGCAGAAUUCAGUGAAUCAUCGAAUCUUUGAACGCACAUUGCGCCCCUUGGUAUUCCAUGGGGCAUGCCUGUUCGAGCGUCAUUUGUACCUUCAAGCUUUGCUUGGUGUUGGGUGUUUGUCUCGCCUCUGCGCGCAGACUCGCCUCAAAACAAUUGGCAACCGGCGUAUUGAUUUCGGAGCGCAGUACAUCUCGCGCUUUGCACUCAUAACGACGACGUCCAAAAAGUACAUUUUUUACACUCUUGACCUCGGAUCAGGUAGGGAUACCCGCUGAACUUAAGC